UACGUAGGGUGCGAGCGUUAAUCGGAAUUACUGGGCGUAAAGCGUGCGCAGGCGGUUUUGUAAGCCAGAUGUGAAAUCCCCGGGCUUAACCUGGGAAUGGCAUUUGGGACUGCAAGGCUCGAGUGCGGCAGAGGGAAGCGGAAUUUCCGGUGUAGCGGUGAAAUGCGUAGAUAUCGGAAGGAACACCAGUGGCGAAAGCGGCUUCCUGGUCCAGCACCGACGUUCAGGCACGAAAGCGUGGGGAGCAAACAGG
rnacentral:rRNA from 1 species